AAAAUUAAAUCAAAAUAAUUCCUUAAUUUAAUUUUCCUUGACUGCAUCACAUAUCCUGCUUAAAGAUGUCAUAUGUGAAUAACAUAGUAUGAUAGCGAUAUGAAAACAAAAAAUAAGAGGGAAAGAAUUGCAGAAUUAGGAAUUAACAUCUAAUUCUUUAACAUCCUCGCCAAGCAUCCACUCAAUCACUUUUCCAUCCUUUGCCUAGAGCAAUAAAUAAUAGGUCCACAAAGAGGCAGUUUCCUAAAGUCAGUGGUUGGCUUCCAGUAAAGCUACGAAGUACCUUGUUGUUGUAAAAUUCAGCCAU
rnacentral:misc_RNA from 1 species